ACGAACGCUGGCGGCGUGCCUAAUACAUGCAAGUAGAACGCACAGUUUAUACCGCAGCUUGCUACACCAUAGACUGUGAGUUGCGAACGGGUGAGUAACGCGUAGGUAACCUACCUGGUAGCGGGGGAUAACUAUUGGAAACGAUAGCUAAUACCGCAUAAUAUUAAUUAUUGCAUGAUAAUUAAUUGAAAGGUGCAAUUGCACCACUACCAGAUGGACCUGCGUUGUAUUAGCUAGUAGGUGAGGUAACGGCUCACCUAGGCGACGAUACAUAGCCGACCUGAGAGGGUGAUCGGCCACACUGGGACUGAGACACGGCCCAGACUCCUACGGGAGGCAGCAGUAGGGAAUCUUCGGCAAUGGACGAAAGUCUGACCGAGCAACGCCGCGUGAGUGAAGAAGGUUGUCGGAUCGUAAAGCUCUGUUGUAAGAGAAGAACGGGUGUGAGAGUGGAAAGUUCACACUGUGACGGUAUCUUACCAGAAAGGGACGGCUAACUACGUG
rnacentral:rRNA from 1 species